UACGAAGGGGGCUAGCGUUGCUCGGAAUCACUGGGCGUAAAGCGCACGUAGGCGGCUUUCUAAGUCAGGGGUGAAAUCCUGGAGCUCAACUCCAGAACUGCCUUUGAUACUGGAGAGCUUGAGUCCGGGAGAGGUGAGUGGAACUCCGAGUGUAGAGGUGAAAUUCGUAGAUAUUCGGAAGAACACCAGUGGCGAAGGCGGCUUGCCAGAACGCGCUCGACGGUGAGGGAUGAAAGCGUGGGG
rnacentral:rRNA from 1 species